rnacentral:misc_RNA from 1 species
UCCGAUUUGUCACCGGCAGUCUCCCAUGAGUCCCCGUCUUUCACGCUGGCAACAUGGAACGAGGGUUGCGCUCGUUGCGGGACUUAACCCAACAUCUCACGACACGAGCUGACGACAGCCAUGCACCACCUGUGAUCCUGCCCGUGAGGGAAGCCGUGUUUCCACGGCGGUCAGGAACAUGUCAAACCCAGGUAAGGUUCUUCGCGUUGCGUCGAAUUAAACCACAUGCUCCACCGCUUGUGCGGGCCCCCGUCAAUUCCUUUGAGUUUCAACCUUGCGGUCGUACUCCCCAGGCGGGGUACUUCCUGCGUUAGCGACGGCGCGGGAGGAGUCGACACCUCCCACACCUAGUGCCCAUCGUUUACGGCGUGGACUAC